rnacentral:lncRNA from 1 species
UUGAACUGAAGAGAAGAUAGAAGGUGUAGGAAGAGUUUGGGAGAAGGUGGCCGAUGGUACAAAGAUAGGGCAAGACCUUCAGGAGUGUCCCUUGGUAUCCAGAAGUGAUCUGAUGGUUGUGCAAAGAUAGGGGCCAAGUCUAGGAGGGACUUAGAAGCAUAGUUGAGGAGAAUGGUCGAGUGUGCAAACUUAGGGCGAGGCCGUACGGAACGUACGGACCUGACCGAUCCGGAAGUUCAUGACUCGACCAUCUGAGCCUAUUUGGAGUUGGUGCAAAAAUAGGGCAAAGGAUAGCUCUUAAGAGAAGAAGACAAAAGAGGCUCUUAAGAGAAGAAGACAAAAGAAGAAGCUGGCGCCAAGACAGGCUGUCUAUGAGCUGUGUGAGCUGUAAAGAAGAAGCUAUAGUGACCUUGUAUCUGAACAGAUACACGGGCAGGUUCAUGGGAGCCUUUAGCCAGCCAAUAAGGAGCCAGCCUUCCCUUUGACCAGUUUGAAUUAACCAACCAGGCACCAAAGAGAGUUUAACCAAUCAGAUGAGGCUAUAAUGACCAGAUCAACUCUCCAUCUCGUCCCUCCAUCCUUCUAGUCUUUUAUGAGCCAUUAGAUGUAGGUUUUAAGUUUAUGGAAUGUAAAGAGCAUAUAUAAGCUCAUAUGUUAGGAAAUGAAUCUCUUAAGUGAGUAAGGGGGGAAACCCUUCUCCUUCAUGUUCUAUGAAAGUGUGUUCUUGAUACUAAGUCUCUAAUCUAUUCUCUAAGUCUCUCAGUCUCUUUAAUCUCGUUACCUAGUCUCUUUCAUACUCUAAAUCUCUCCCCAUACUCAUAAGUCUCAAAUCUGUUCACAUAAACUCUCCUAAACACUUUCUCACACACACCUUGAGUAAAUCCUUAUAAAAUCUCA